GACGAACGCUGGCGGCGUGCUUAACACAUGCAAGUCGAACGGAAAGGCCCUGCUUUUGUGGGGUGCUCGAGUGGCGAACGGGUGAGUAACACGUGAGUAACCUGCCCUUGACUUUGGGAUAACUUCAGGAAACUGGGGCUAAUACCGGAUAGGAGCUCCUGCUGCAUGGUGGGGGUUGGAAAGUUUCGGCGGGUGGGGAUGGACUCGCGGCUUAUCAGCUUGUUGGUGGGGUAGUGGCUUACCAAGGCUUUGACGGGUAGCCGGCCUGAGAGGGUGACCGGCCACAUUGGGCCUGAGAUACGGCCCAGUCUCCUACGGGAGGCAGCAGUGGGGAAUAUUGCACAAUGGGCGGAAGCCUGAUGCAGCAACGCCGCGUGCGGGAUGACGGCCUUCGGGUUGUAAACCGCUUUCGCCUGUGACGAAGCGUGAGUGACGGUAAUGGGUAAAGAAGCACCGGCUAACUACGUG
rnacentral:rRNA from 1 species